rnacentral:rRNA from 1 species
UACGUAGGGCGCAAGCGUUAUCCGGAAUUAUUGGGCGUAAAGAGCUCGUAGGCGGUUUGUCGCGUCUGCCGUGAAAGUCCGGGGCUCAACUCCGGAUCUGCGGUGGGUACGGGCAGACUAGAGUGAUGUAGGGGAGACUGGAAUUCCUGGUGUAGCGGUGAAAUGCGCAGAUAUCAGGAGGAACACCGGUGGCGAAGGCGGGUCUCUGGGUAACAACUGACGCUGAGGAGCGAAAGCGUGGGGAGCGAACAGG